UAGUGUGCACUCUGAGCAGUGUUCAGUUCAUCUGGGCUAACCCAUGUGGGGCCUCCAUGGAAACCGUGGACAAAAAUGUCUGGGCCCAAGUUAGGCUGCCCAGGUGACACCCAUCUGGGCCCCACCAUGCUAUGUUGGCUGGGGUUGUUCCUGAGACAGCAUAUCUGCUCCCAGAUUGUUCUUUCCGGGUAUAUGAGUCGCUCUGAGUGACCGAACCCUUGGGGAUGCCCAUUCCAGAAGGAUUUUCACCAGAGCGCAUAAGCGGCUGGACGAAAGACCCCCCUGGCGAUUUAUAUAGGAGACCACUGUCAUACUGUCCGACUGGACUAAGACGUGGCGAUCCGUCAGAUAAGCCCGAAAGGCAUGGAGGGCUCGUGCCACUGACAGCAUUUCGAGGCAGUUGAUAUGUAGGUGGCUUUCCUCGUGUGUUCACGAGCCGUAGACCGGACUGCCCUCACACAGAGCGCCCCAACCCGAGUUGGACACGUCUGUCGAAAGUGUACUGUACUCCGAGUGUGAACCAAGUGGGGUUCAUCCAGGGCUUCAGGGCUGCCAGACAGACCUUGAGGCGCAGGUGACCGUGGCGCCAAGCGUAGGGAGGUACCCGAACCUUCAACCAGUACUGCAGAGGCCGCAUGCGAAGUAGGCCAAGCUGAAGAACUGGGAAGGUGGAAGCCAUGAGCCCUAGCAACCUCUGGAACAGCUUCAGAGGGAGGUAGGCUUUGUUCCUGAUGGAGGCCGCGAGCUGCUGAAUGGCCAGAGCGCACUCUGGCGAGACUACUGCCGUUAUACGGACAGAGUCGAAAACUGCGCCCAGGAACGAGAUACGUUGAGUGGGAAGCAGCGAGCUCUUGGCUGGGUUGACCCUGAGACCCAGGCACUGUAAGUGGCUGAGAAGCAUGGAUCUGUGGUGCUCUAGUUCUGUGCGCGAGCUGGCUAAAAUGAGCCAGUCGUCGAGGUAGUUUAAAACGCGUAUUCCCAUCUGUCUCAGAGGGGAAAGGGCCACGUUCAUGCACUUCGUAAAAGUGCGAGGAGCCAGGGAGAGCCCGAAGGGGAGGACCGUAUAUUGGUAAGCCACACCCUCGAACGCGAAUCUCAAGAAUCGCCUGUGAUGGGGGGCUAUCUGGAUGUGAAAGUAAGCGUCCUUCAGAUCCAGUGAACAGAACCAGUCCUUGUGGCAAAUCUGCGUGAGGAUCUGCUUCAGUGUCAGGACUUUGAACUUUCACUUCAUGAGGGAAAGGUUCAGUAACCUGAGGUCCAGAAUGGGUCUGAGACCGCCGUCUUUCUUCGGCACCAAGAAGUAACGGCUGUAGAAGCCCGACUCGCUCUCUGGGAAGGGGACUAUUUCUAUAGCCCCCUUUCUCAACAGAGUUAAAACCUCGGUUCGGAGGACAUGUGUGUCGUCCGCUUGUACCGAAGUCUGAAUAACCCCGCCACACCGCGGAGGUCUUCUGGCAAAUUGGAGCGAGUAGCCCUGGCUUAUGACCUUCAGAAUCCAGUCUGACACGCCGGGGAUGGCUUUCCAAGCCUUGGCCCGGGUGGCGAGAGGGAGAAUAAUAUCGGAUGACGGCCCGCUUAGAAGGGGGUCGAGCACCGCAUUGGGUGCUCUUUUGUGAAAUAUUUAAAAAAUGGGUCGCCGUGAAAACGGCGGUUUGUGAGGGCGCAGCACAUGUGGGCCCUAUUACAGCAGGUUGUGUUUCUCCCGCGCCCAGAUAUAAACGAGGCGGAGGGGAGUUUGCACGGGAGCGUUUUUGGGGGGGUCCGGCCGCGGCGGGACUUGCCCCAAUCCUCUUCCCUCUCAGACUAGGAUGACUUAGGGGUCACAGGGUCCAGCACAAUCCUGGGCCGGGGUCCCUGGCGCCUGGGGAAGGAGGAGCGCUUAGAAGGGCGCGAGCGCUGGCGUUGCUCCUUGGGCGGUGCUGCUUGGGAAGCAGAGGGGGCGGGCUUGGUCUGCUAAGCCGGCGCAGGCCUGGGGCGGCUAGAGGCAGACGCGGAGCUAGAGCGUUUCGGCAAAAAGUGUCUCAUAGCCUGAGAGGACUUUUGCGCCGCAGUAAAGCGCUCUGUGAAACCCUCCACCGCAGGUCCAAAGAGUCCAUACGGGGACACGGGGGCAUCUAAGAAGGCCGUCUUGUCCUGCUCCUUGAUCUCCGUCAGAUUCAGCCAUAGUUGGCGCUCCAGCACAACAAGGCUGGCCAUUGACCUGCCAAUGGCCUGGGCCGUGGCCUUCGUGGCCCGCAGGGCUAAGUCAGUAGCGCUGAGGAGGUCCUUAAAGGCAGGCGCAUCAAUACCGGACUCGUCCAGAGAGCGGAGGAGUUUGGCUUGAAAAACCUGAAAGAUGGCCAUAGAGUGAAGUGCUGAGGCGGCCUGACCCGCUGAGGUGUAGGCUCUUCCUGCUAGGGUCCUGCAGGGUUUGGACGGGAGGGCUCUCUUGGCUUUCCAUCCCACGGCCGCGGGAGGGCAGAGAUGAGCGGCCACUGCUUCGUCCAGGGGUGGCAGGUGUUCGUAUCCUUUUUCCUCCGCGCCGUCCAUGGCGGUGAGGGCCGAGCGGUGGGUCGUGUGUAGGCGGGCAGAGUAAGGGGCGCGCCACGACUUUGUCAGCACCUCGUGGACUUCGGGGAAGAAUGGGGCGGAGAGCUGGCUAGGGGCCUGGCGGCGGCCUGGAAGAAACCACUCGUCCAAGUGGCUCCGCGAUGGCUCCUCUGGCGGAGCCCAGUCGAGGUCCAGUCCCUCUACGGCCUUAGACAGGACGAGGAAUAACUCGGCGUCCAUGCCGGUGCCGUGUUCAAUCGGCUCCAAUGAAGGCAGGGGGGUGGGGUCGUCCGGCUCGCCAGCCCACGCUUCAUGCUCAGAGGCUGCCAUGGAUAAAGAGUCGAAGAGCAGCUCUUCAUCCGAUCCACCGAAGUAGACGAGGUAGCUCGCAUCUACCGAGGGACGGUGGUCUGGGCGGGAGAAUGAGACGGGGGUCUGCUCUCUGUGGGGAGAGGGCGAGGCACGCGGGCACUGGGCUGACGUGUGCUCGCCCGUCUCCAUGCGCUGAACUGUUCUGCCCCGCGGUCUUUUCCUGGCAGGCGCGGGAGACGGGAGGGCAUGAACAGGGGGGUCGCUCUCGGAGAAGAAGGCGGCCCGCGAGCGCAGAGACGCUAAACUCAUGCGUUCACAGUGUGGGCAUGAGCCGCCGGCAAGCGCGUCAUCCGCGUGGGCAACGCCCAGACAUCCAACGCACUCCCCGUGUCCGUCAUCUUCGUGCAGCAGGGCUCUGCACGUAGCACAGUGGUGAGGCAUUGAAAAAUGCCGGUAGCGCCGUGAAAACGGCGAUUGGGAGGCUCUUUAACGGCGAGGGCCGGGCUCGUAGCGGUGAAAACUGCUGGAAAGUUGCUCUGAGGCGCUGUAAGGUGACCGCGGGAAGACGCUUUCAGGGCGCGCCGGAUGGCGGCAGGAGACACGCUGGGAAGCGGCCGGUUCGUGGGAGCGGGAGGCGGCGGCUCGAUGACGGCGCAAAGGCGGCAGUCGGCGAGGGCGCGGGCGCUGCGAGGAUCCGGCGAGUCAGCGGGGUCCGCUGCAGGGCCUCUUCGACGGCGGCAAGCUUCUUUCUCGGAAAAUGUGGGCCACCACCACAUCUGAACUCUGCAGAUACAACGGAAAUGG